rfam:Rattus norvegicus chromosome 9, whole genome shotgun sequence.
AAAAAGGUUUUUUUCAAAACCCCUAAAAAAAUGCCAAUCAUGAAAGU